GGAGGCUUUCAGGGGAUCGCAAGACCUUGCGCUUUUGGAGCGACCGAUGUCUGAUUAGCUAGUUGGUGAGGUAAAGGCUUACCAAGGCGUCGAUCAGUAGCUGGUCUGAGAGGACGACCAGCCACACUGGGACUGAGACACGGCCCAGACUCCUACGGGAGGCAGCAGUGGGGAAUUUUGGACAAUGGGGGAAACCCUGAUCCAGCCAUGCCGCGUGAGUGAAGAAGGCCUUCGGGUUGUAAAGCUCUUUCAGCCGGAACGAAACGGUCACGGUUAAUACCUGUGACUACUGACGGUACCGGAAGAAGAAGCACCGGCUAACUACGUGCCAGCAGCCGCGGUAAUACGUAGGGUGCGAGCGUUAAUCGGAAUUACUGGGCGUAAAGCGUGCGCAGGCGGUUUUGUAAGUCAGAUGUGAAAUCCCCGGGCUUAACCUGGGAACUGCGUUUGAAACUACAAGGCUAG
rnacentral:rRNA from 1 species